rnacentral:lncRNA from 1 species
UAUGCCAUACCAGUAUCUCCAUGAAGGAAAAACUACCUUUUUCUUGUAGGAUCUUCCAGAUCUAAUGAGAUAUGGGGUGAAAUAUUUUUUUAAAAAAAUUAUCCUACUUUAUUUUAGAUCUAAGGUCUAUUAGAUCUAAUUCUUAUUAUCUAAUAUUUAAUUUAAAAUUAAAUCUAAAACUUGAGGAUUAGAGGAAUACCUCUAGGGUAACUAGAUUACCCGGUAGAUGAUCGCAGCAACGUCCGAGGUUCUAAAAUAGCCAUGCAGUCGUUUGGCCUCUACUAGUAUCCACUUGAGUAGGAUCUAGAUUAUCUUCUCCUCAUGAAUCUUUGCUCCAAAAAUUAGAUCUAGAUUUGAUCUACAAGAUCUUCAAAAGAUCUUCUGAAGCUGGAGCAGCAGCUUCUUGACAAAUCCCUGCAGCCU